AUUGAACGCUGGCGGAAUGCUUUACACAUGCAAGUCGAGCGGCAGCGCGGGGGCAACCCUGGCGGCGAGCGGCGAACGGGUGAGUAAUACAUCGGAACGUGUCCUUGAGUGGGGGAGUAGCUCGGCGAAAGCCGGAUUAAUACCGCAUAAGCUCUGAGGAGGAAAGCGGGGGACCGUGGUAACGGGCCUCGCGCUGUUGGAGCGGCCGAUGUCGGAUUAGCUAGUUGGGGGGUAAAGGCCCACCAAGGCGACGAUCCGUAGCUGGUCUGAGAGGAUGAUCAGCCACACUGGAACUGAGACACGGUCCA
rnacentral:rRNA from 1 species